AUUGAACGCUGGCGGAAUGCUUUACACAUGCAAGUCGAACGGCAGCACGGGGGCAGUCCUGGUGGCGAGUGGCGAACGGGUGAGUAAUACAUCGGAACGUGCCCGGUCGUGGGGGAUAACGUAGCGAAAGUUACGCUAAUACCGCAUACGAUCUGAGGAUGAAAGCGGGGGACCUUCGGGCCUCGCGCGAUCGGAGCGGCCGAUGUCAGAUUAGGUAGUUGGUGGGGUAAAGGCCUACCAAGCCGACGAUCUGUAGCUGGUCUGAGAGGACGACCAGCCACACUGGGACUGAGACACGGCCCAGACUCCUACGGGAGGCAGCAGUGGGGAAUUUUGGACAAUGGGCGCAAGCCUGAUCCAGCCAUUCCGCGUGCAGGACGAAGGCCUUCGGGUUGUAAACUGCUUUUGUACGGAACGAAAAGGCUCUGGCUAAUACCUGGGGCUCAUGACGGUACCGUAAGAAUAAGCACCGGCUAACUACGUG
rnacentral:rRNA from 1 species